UGAACGCUGGCGGUAGGCUUAACACAUGCAAGUCGAGCGAGAAAGUAUCUUCGGAUAUGAGUAGAGCGGCGGACGGGUGAGUAACGCGUAGGAAUCUACCUAGUAGAAGGGGAUAGCCCGGGGAAACUCGGAUUAAUACCGUAUACCUCCUUAGGGAGAAAGAGGGCCUCUCUUGAAGCUCUCGCUAUUAGAUGAGCCUGCGUAAGAUUAGCUUGUUGGUAAGGUAAUGGCUUACCAAGGCUACGAUCUUUAGCUGGUCUGAGAGGACGAUCAGCCACAUUGGGACUGAGACACGGCCCAGACUCCUACGGGAGGCAGCAGUGGGGAAUAUUGGACAAUGGGCGCAAGCCUGAUCCAGCCAUACCGCGUGUGUGAAGAAGGCCUUCGGGUUGUAAAGCACUUUAAGCAGGGAGAAAAAGCUAUAGGUUAAUACCCUACAGCCUUGAUGUUACCUGCAGAAUAAGCACCGGC
rnacentral:rRNA from 1 species